AAAUACAGUGGGUGGUCCGCCCAGUUCUAACCAGUGUUUUUAUACAAAGUAUUCCUACGGGUAAUGUAUGUCCAUGGGUGACUUCUCGGUACCCCCUUUUCCCACUGUCCAACAAACACCAUAACAAAACCAAUACUCACAGGUGGGGACAAGGUGACAUGUAGUUGCAAAAACCAAACAAGAGAUCUACAGACAGAUGGCAUUGAAAGAGAGAUUGAGCUCUAAAGCAAACAACAGACAGGGUUUUUAAACCAAGGGAAAGGGAAUGUGAUAGGGUAAUGGAAACAGGAGGAGUUGUGUCUUCUGAUUAGCGACUGAUUGAUGACUGAUUGGGGAAUGAUGAUUGCCACCUGUGCGGAGGAGAGAAAAUAAAUACACACACAGGAUACCUGUAUCUGUAACACCCCACCUGAAGAAAUCUUCACCAGACCACACGUACAUCGAUGGACACCGAGGGGGCAAAGGUUGAGUUUAGAUCACAAAAACCUCAGUAUAAGCUAAGGUUGUAAUGGUUGUUGAAUUCCUAACCAUACCACGUGGUGCAUUGGCUACACGGGUGGAAAUGGUUAAACGCCGAGGCUAUCGAUCCUGGCAGAAUAAGAGCAAAUCUUAGAUACUAAUUACUAGUCUGCAGCAAGAAAUUAUGUCAACCUGGAAUGCGAAGACCGACACCCACCGAAACAUCUAUUCCAUAAGAACAUUUCUGAAUGGAACUCUGAAGUAUCGAUUCUAACCACGAAAGACUUCAGGGAAGCAGAGAGACGCUCAGAUGAACUUUCCAACAGAAGGACUGAUGAUUCCCAUAGAGAUCACGACGGCACACUGGGGAGGCCCUUUGAGUCCUGGAGAGUAAAGAAGAGCAGCUCCCACCAGUUCAUCUUCAAUGCAAACCAUGUUCCCUGCAUCUCUGCUGCUGCUGCUGGCAGCUGCCUCCUGUGUCUGCUGUGGUAUUGAACUCAUCCAUUCUGGUCCAGUGGUUAUAAAACGAGAAGAGUCUUUCAGCAUCUCCUGAAAUUCUCUGGGUUUUCUAUAUCUUCUUACUGUCCUCACUGGAUAUGACAAGCUGAAGGCAAAGCUUUGGAGCAUGUUGGUUAUACAUGCAGUAGUAGUACUUUGAGUGUUGGACUAGUAACCGAAAGGUUCCAUGUUCAAAUCUCAGAGCUGACAGUUUACAAAUCUGUCGUUCUGCCCCUGAACAGGUAGUUAACCCACUGUUCCUAGGCCGUCAUUGAAAAUAAGAAUUUGUUCUUAACUGACUUGCCUAGUUAAAUACAGGUAAAAUAAAAUAUAAAUUCUGACUGAAGACACAGCUAGGUGUUAUUGUGCUCGGUGGACACAGUGAUACAAACCAUGACCAGAGCUGUACAAAAACCCUUCCUCCAGGGAUUCAUUGUAUAAUAGGACUCCAUAAAUUGAAUAGAACAUAGAUGCUCCUCAAUAUCCAAUGUGUAAAUUAAUUUAAGCUGGAACUAAAUGUUUGAAUUGUUUGCCAACCUUGAUGGUAUUCUAAUUGAUGUCUAGUAAACAUUCAAUGAACUCA